CUCGCAGAUGUCCAGCACUCCUUAUCUUAAUCUUAUAUAGUGCAUGUGAGGGACAAGUGCUUCAGAGCACUCUCGUCUUCUAUCCUGUAUUCAUCUCUCUGUAAUAAACCUUCUUCACCUGAGAGGACGAAUCUGCAAGUGUUGUCUAAUUUCCAUGACAAGUUACUGCCAAAUGAAGAGAACUCGCCUUGGCAAUUUUUUCUCAACUCGAUGGGACUCUUCCUCUGCUUCUUCUACGUCUUCUUCCUCCACCUCUCUCAUCCUCACAUCCUCCUUUUCAGUCUCAUAUGGGACUUGUAAGGAAGAGAGGCUCCUCUUCAUGAGAUUCUGAACCGGAGCUGCUAGCAGG